rnacentral:rRNA from 1 species
UACGUAGGGUGCAAGCGUUGUCCGGAAUUAUUGGGCGUAAAGAGCUCGUAGGCGGUUUGUUGCGUCGGCUGUGAAAUCCCGAGGCUCAACCUCGGGUCUGCAGUCGAUACGAGCAAACUAGAGUGUUGCAGGGGAGACUGGAAUUCCUGGUGUAGCGGUGAAAUGCGCAGAUAUCAGGAGGAACACCGGUGGCGAAGGCGGCAUCCUGGACCGAGAUUGACGCUGAGGCGCGAAAGCCAGGGGAGCAAACGGG